AUUGAACGCUGGCGGCAUGCUUUACACAUGCAAGUCGAACGGCAGCGCGUUUUGGGAAACCGAGAUGGCGGCGAGUGGCGGACGGGUGAGUAAUACAUCGGAACGUACCCAAUUGAGGGGGAUAACCUAGCGAAAGUUAGGCUAAUACCGCAUAAGCUUGAGAAAGGAAAGCAGGGGAUCUUCGGACCUUGCGCGAUUGGAGCGGCUGAUGACCGAUUAGCUAGUUGGUGGGGUAAAGGCCUACCAAGGCGACGAUCGGUAGCUGGUCUGAGAGGAUGAUCAGCCACACUGGGAAUAAGAGACGGCCCAG
rnacentral:rRNA from 1 species